rnacentral:misc_RNA from 1 species
UUAAGUUCAGCGGGUAUUCCUACCUGAUCCGAGGUCAACCUUGUGCCGCCUGGGCGGGCUUGUAGGGGGUUUAAGGGCUGGUGCCCGGGGGCUCCCGAUGCGAGGCGGAUGCUACUGCGCAAGGGAAGGGCCGCCACGGGUCCGCCGCUGGUUUUCGGGGCCUACGGCGGGGCGUAGAUCCCCAACACCGGGCCACUGGG